rnacentral:misc_RNA from 1 species
UCAUUAACACGUAUCCAACGUUCAACAACCAUGAACCUUCAUGUUUCGUGUGCUUGUAGUUGCCCACUCACAUGAGUCAAUCUGUGCACGUGAGUUACCAGACAUCCUCGAAGUUAAAAAGUAAGACAGCAAGUGAAGGACAAUUUCUUGACUGACAUCGUUGGAUCGAGUGGGUGAGAUUCCUGUUGGUCUUGGAAAUCGGUGCAUCGGACCUCAUCUCACUGUUGGAUAUAUUG